AAUGAACGUUGGCGGCGUGGAUUAGGCAUGCAAGUCGAGCGAGAACCGUAGCAAUACGGGGACAGCGGCGAAAGGGAGAGUAAUACGUGGGUACCUACCCUCGGAUUCAGGAUAGCCAUGGGAAACUAUGGGUAAUACUGAAUAACGUCUUCGGACCAAAGGUGUGAUUCCGUCCGAGGAGGGGCCCGCGUCCCAUUAGCUAGUUGGCGAGGUAACGGCUCACCAAGGCUGAGAUGGGUAUGGGAUGUGAGAGCAUGAUCCCACUCAUUGGGACUGAGACACUGCCCAGACACCUACGGGUGGCUGCAGUCGAGAAUCUUCGGCAAUGGGGGCAACCCUGACCGAGCGACGCCGCGUGCGAGAUGAAGGCCUUCGGGUUGUAAAUCGCUGUCAGAGGGGAGGAAAUGCCGGUGGGUUCUCCCAUCGGUUUGACCUAGCCUCAGAGGAAGGACGGGCUAAGUUCGUGCCAGCCGCCGCGGUAAAAC
rnacentral:rRNA from 1 species